UCUAGCAGUUGCCAGUCAUGGGAAAUCAACUGUUACUCUUAAGUCACUUCUGAUCAGCAAGAAUUAUCUUCUGGCAAUGAUAUUUUCAUUGCUUGAAUACUUUGUUGAAAUUUCUUCAUUUCCUGCAAUGAAGGAAUAUUGGUGGGUGAGUAACUUAGGCCUUGCCCUUGUCGUAAGUGGAGAACUCAUUCGGAAAAUGGCAAUUAUUACGGCUGGGCGUGCCUUCACACAUCUUAUCAAGAUUUGUAAGGAGGAGCAUCACAAGCUGAUUACUCAUGGAGUCUAUGGAUUUGUUCGUCAUCCGGGAUAUGCUGGUUUCUUCAUCUGGUCAGUUGGCACUCAGAUAAUGCUUUGUAAUCCCAUAUCAACGAUUGCAUUUGCUAUUGUUGUCUGGCGCUUCUUUGCAAACCGGAUACCAUAUGAAGAGUUUUUCUUGGGGCAGUUUUUUGGGUCGCAGUACGAGGAAUAUGCGUGGCGAACUCCUUCUGGGGUUCCAUUUGUGAAAUGGAGACCAAAAAGAGCUUGAGGCACACCUGCAUCCAUUUUUGGCCAUAGCUAAUUUAAAAUGCAUCUAAUCAAGGAAGCCAUAGGAAAACUGCAGUGUUGUUAUCUUGAGAUGAUCUGGAACUCAUUUAGAACCGAACUGAUUAUCUCUGUAUGAUAUGGCUUUGUCCUUGCUGCGAGCAACUAUCAAAUGGUAUCCCUUGGAAUGGAAGGUCUGCUGUGGGUUGUUUUGUGUAUUAA
rnacentral:misc_RNA from 1 species